rfam:TPA: Bos taurus chromosome 4, whole genome shotgun sequence.
UUCAGUGGCUCAGUGGUAAAGAAUCUGCCUGCAAUGCAGGAGAUGCAGGUUCGAUCCCUGGGUCUGGA